rnacentral:rRNA from 1 species
GCAUCGAUGAAGAACGUAGCGAAAUGCGAUACUUGGUGUGAAUUGCAGAAUCCGUGAACCAUCGAGUCUUUGAACGCAAGUUGCGCCCGAAGCCAUUAGGCCGAGGGCACGUCUGCCUGGGCGUCAC